rnacentral:pre_miRNA from 1 species
AUUCUACUCCCUCUGUUCCACAAUACAUGCCUUCUAUUUGUCAAAAUAUAUAUGUAUCUAGACAUGUUUUAGUAUAUAGGUACAUCCAUUUUUGGACAAAUGGAAGUCAAGUAUUUUGGAACGGAGGGAGUACACU